GCGCCCGUAGCUCAGGUGGAUAGAGCGUCAGCCUUCUAAGCUGAGGGCCGCUGGUUCGAGUCCAGCCGGGCGCGCCA
rnacentral:tRNA from 1 species